AGCUCGAUGGGGUCGACCGCACGCGUCACGACUAGGUAGUCGCGCAGCGCGAUGCCGUGUCUGUUCUC
rnacentral:sRNA from 1 species